GCUCGCGCGGAUAGAGCUCAGGCCACAGAGGCGGGGCCAAAAAUCCGAGAGGGGUGUGGCUAGGAAGUAAUACGUGGAGAGGGCAGACACAGAGGAAGACACAAAGGUAAAGAGAAGCGGAGUAAUUUGCCUAACGCCACACAGCAAAGUUAAGCCGCUGGGCCUAAACCACAGGUCUGUGACCUCAGAGCCAUAGACUGUCCUGGAGGCAGUGACCUCCUUGCACUCUACCCUGCCUGCCACCCCUCAGCCUCAGCUUGGCUCCCGUAGAAGUGGACCCGCUCUGUGCCUAGCAUCUGGUAGGAAGCAAUCUAUGUGGGUCCUCUAGUUUCCUAACAGUGACCAUUGUCCAGGACCAUUGUCCCAUUUCACCAGUGGGAAAACAGGGUUUGAGAGGUCAGGUCCCCUGUUUGGAGCUGCACAGCUGAAGUGGGAGGUUGGCAUUUAAGCCCAUGGGCUCAAAGCUCAUGCAUUUAACCCCCAUACCACCCUGCCUCUUCCAAUGAAAGGUUUACCCGAUUUUCUUUAGCUCAUUUUAGUAUAACUCCAUUAUGCCCCCCAGUGAAUUUGCCACUUUGACUCUUAGGCUGUACCGGGCACUGUGCUAAGCGCUUCCAUAUGUUAAAACUCUUUUCCUCCCAGUGACCUAUAAAAUAGGCACUGUUGCUAUUUCUAUUUCACAGAUGGGAAGACUGAGGCACAGAGAAACCAGGAAGUGUCUUCUUGCUGCCUCAGUCUGUGCCCCCCCCCAGGCCCUCCAAGUUCCCCUUGCAAGGCAUGUGGACGCUCACCUCAGCACUGCGGCUCCUGGCCUCCAUGGCACUGCUGGGAGUCACCCGGGCCCCAGGCUCCUGCUUCUGCUGCAAAACCAGCUUCAGUUCUGCAUGGAGCAGCUGCCUUUGAGCCUGUGGGGGACAGGGAUGGAGGCUUGAGGCCAGGAGAGGAUGAGAGGAGGCCAGGCAUGGGGGGAGAGGCCAAAAUGGGUAUCAGAAGGGGAGAAGGGCCCCCCACCCCUGUCCUCUCACCGCUGCCUGGGCACAGGCACCCCCUCCUAACAGGAGCCCAGCCUGGGGUACCGCACAGCCGUCUGCGGGGCUCACACCCUUCCUCUGGGGUCUUGCUGCCUGCCAGGAAAAGACCAGUGCAUGAGGCUCCAAGCAGGCCUGGGAGGGGUGGGGAGGGGCAUGUGGCACCGGCCAAUGCUCACCUCAGGGUCACCUCCAGCUCCUUGGGCCUCCUGGGUCCGGGGCUCUAAGAAGAAGAAGCGUGAGCAUUACCAUCAGCUAACCCCACCCAUUGCUUCCUGAGUGCCCGACCCUUCUGCGAUAUUCUAUCCCCACAGUGCAGCUGGGGAAAUUGAGGCCUGGAAGACCUUUAUUGGACAACAGUAAAGCAAGAGCUGACUCCUAGGACUGCCUGACAGCAGAGCCCCGGCACCAACCACCUGGGUUGACUGAGAGAGCCAAAUUCACUAUAAAACAAUCCUAACCAUUCCCGUGUCCUCCCGGUGGGCCGAUCACCUCACCUCUCUGGGCCUCAGCUUCCUGGCUUGUUCAAUGGGGAGAAGGAGAGCACCUACUGCAUCAAAUAAGCCCCUUCACUUCAUUUACAUACCUAGCUCACCCGCUGCCAAUCAGAACGAAGAGGGAUCCACGCGCAACCAAUCAGGAAGCGGCGACGGCAGCAUCGCUCGCUCGCUCUCCUUCAGCAACCGGCGCCUGGG